rnacentral:rRNA from 1 species
AUUGAACGCUGGCGGCAGGCCUAACACAUGCAAGUCGAGCGGAGCGGCGGACGGGUGAGUAAUGCCUAGGAAUCAGCCUGGUAGUGGGGGCUAACGUCAGGAAACGGGCGCUCAUACCGCAUACUAUCAGAUAAGCCUAGGUCGGAUUAGCUAGUUGGUGGGGUAAAGGCCUACCAAGGCGACGAUCCUUAACUGGUCUGAGAGGAUGAUCAGCCAAACUGGAACUGCGACACGUGCCAGACUCCUACGGGAGGCAGCAGUGGGGAAUAGUGGACAAUGGGCGAAUGCCUGAUCCAGCCAUGCCGCGUGUGUGAAGAAGGUCUUCGGAUUGUAAAGCACUUUAAGUUGGGAGGCGUUACCAACAGAAUAAGCACCGGCUAACUUCGUGCCAGCAGCCGCGGUAAUUC